AAGGGUAUAGCUCUGUGGCAGAGUGCAUGCUUAGCAUGCAUGAGGUCCUGGGUUCAAUCCCCAGUACCUCCA
rnacentral:tRNA from 1 species